GGGGAUGUAGCACAGAUUGUAGGACGUUUACUUAGCAUGCAAGAGGUCCUGAGAUCAAUCCUCCAUGUCUCUA